UACGUAGGGACCGAGCGUUGUCCGGAAUCAUUGGGCGUAAAGAGCGUGUAGGCGGCUUGUUAAGUCUUGCGUGAAAUCUCGGGGCUCAACCCCGAGCGGUCGUGAGAAACUGGCAGGCUAGAGUGCGGGAGAGGAGAGUGGAAUUCCUGGUGUAGCGGUGAAAUGCGCAGAUAUCAGGAAGAACACCCGUGGCGAAGGCGGCUCACUGGCCCGAUACUGACGCUGAGGCACGAAAGCGUGGGGAGCAAACAGG
rnacentral:rRNA from 1 species